UACGGAGGGUGCAAGCGUUAUCCGGAUUUAUUGGGUUUAAAGGGUCCGUAGGCGGAUCUGUAAGUCAGUGGUGAAAUCUCACAGCUUAACUGUGAAACUGCCAUUGAUACUGCAGGUCUUGAGUGUUAUUGACGUAGCUGGAAUAAGUAGUGUAGCGGUGAAAUGCAUAGAUAUUACUUAGAGCACCAAUUGCGAAGGCAGGUUACUAAGCAACAACUGACGCUGAUGGACGAAAGCGUGGGGAGCGAACAGG
rnacentral:rRNA from 1 species